rnacentral:sRNA from 12 species
GUAAUCAGCGAUUAGGCAAUUUGCAGAACCGUCACUGCUAAAGUGAUUACGCUUCUGAAGAAAUACGCGGAGCGUUUGUGUAUGAUGAAAAUCUGCAAGAGGUAUUGAGUAAACAAAUACGGACAAAGGCUGAAUGAAAACGCUCUUCAUUCGGUUUUUU